rnacentral:rRNA from 1 species
CACGUAGGAGGCGAGCGUUGUCCGGAAUCAUUGGGCGUAAAGAGCGCGCAGGCGGUCGUACAAGUCGCGUGUGAAAGCCCCCGGCUCAACUGGGGAGGGUCACGCGAUACUGUUCGACUCGAAGGCAGGAGAGGGAAGUGGAAUUCCCGGUGUAGUGGUGAAAUGCGUAGAUAUCGGAAGGAACAUCAGUGGCGAAAGCGACUUCCUGGACCAGUACCGACGUUCAGGCACGAAAGCGUGGGGAGCAAACAGG